rnacentral:rRNA from 1 species
UACGUAGGGUGCAAGCGUUAAUCGGAAUUACUGGGCGUAAAGCGUGCGCAGGCGGUGAUGUAAGACAGAUGUGAAAUCCCCGGGCUCAACCUGGGAACUGCAUUUGUGACUGCAUCGCUGGAGUACGGCAGAGGGAGGUGGAAUUCCACGUGUAGCAGUGAAAUGCGUAGAGAUGUGGAGGAACACCGAUGGCGAAGGCAGCCUCCUGGGCCAGCACUGACGCUCAUGCACGAAAGCGUGGGGAGCAAACAGG